UACGUAGGGUGCAAGCGUUAAUCGGAAUUACUGGGCGUAAAGCGUGCGCAGGCGGUUUUGUAAGUCUGGCGUGAAAUCCCCGGGCUUAACCUGGGAAUUGCGUUGGAGACUGCAAGGCUGGAGUCUGGCAGAGGGGGGUAGAAUUCCACGUGUAGCAGUGAAAUGCGUAGAGAUGUGGAGGAGCACCGAUGGCGAAGGCAGCCCCCUGGGUCAAGACUGACGCUCAUGCACGAAAGCGUGGGGAGCAAACAGG
rnacentral:rRNA from 1 species